rnacentral:snRNA from 1 species
GGAUGUGAGGGCGAUCUGGCUGCGACAUCUGUCACCCCAUUGAUCACCAGGGUUGAUUCGGCUGAUCUGGCUGGCUAGGCGGGUGUCCCCUUCCUCACUCACCGCUCCAUGUGCGUCCCUCCCGAAGCUGCACGCUCAGUGGAAGAGAACGACAUCCCAGGUAUAGAAGGAGUGUACCGAGGUCUCCAGUCUUCGGUCCCGGGUAUACGAUAGCUGCGCUCCCCUGCUAGAACCUCCAAACAUUGAAAAUGUGGUCAAGAAAAUGUUUGAUUGCUGUGUGGGGGUUCUCCCUGAAAAUAAUUAUUUCAGACAAUACCUUUUUUGCACACACCAAACACAUCACUUU